GCCAUUGUAGUUUAAUGGUAAAACAAUUGUUUUGUAAACAAUUAAUUUCAGUUCAAUUCUGAAUUUUGGCU
rnacentral:tRNA from 1 species